UACAGAGCCUGCAAGCGUUAUUCGGAUUCACUGGGCGUAAAGGGUGCGCAGGUGGCCAAGUGUGUCAGGUGUGAAAUCCCGGGGCUUAACUCCGGAACUGCGCCUGAAACUGCAUGGCUAGAGCAUUGGAGAGGGUAGUGGAAUUCACGGUGUAGCAGUGAAAUGCGUAGAUAUCGUGAGGAACACCAGAGGCGAAGGCGACUACCUGGACAAUAGCUGACACUCAGGCACGAAAGCGUGGGGAGCCAAA
rnacentral:rRNA from 1 species